rnacentral:rRNA from 1 species
GACGAACGCUGGCGGCGUGCUUAACACAUGCAAGUCGAACGGAAAGACCCUGCUUUUGUGGGGUGCUCGAGUGGCGAACGGGUGAGUAACACGUGAGUAACCUGCCCUUGACUUUGGGAUAACUUCAGGAAACUGGGGCUAAUACCGGAUAGGAGCUCCUGCUGCAUGGUGGGGGUUGGAAAGUUUCGGCGGUUGGGGAUGGACUCGCGGCUUAUCAGCUUGUUGGUGGGGUAGUGGCUUACCAAGGCUUUGACGGGUAGCCGGCCUGAGAGGGUGACCGGCCACAUUGGGACUGAGAUACGGCCCAGACUCUUACGGGAGGCAGCAGUGGGGAAUAUUGCACAAUGGGCGGAAGCCUGAUGCAGCAACGCCGCGUGCGGGAUGACGGCCUUCGGGUUGUAAACCGCUUUCGCCUGUGACGAAGCGUGAGUGACGGUAAUGGGUAAAGAAGCACCGGCUAACUACGUG